CCCACUGAGUGAGGUCAGGGAUCGAACCCCCAACCUCAUGGUUCCUGGUCAGAGUCAUUAACCACUGAGCCACAACGGGAACUCCUCCUCUUGGCUCUUUUAUCAAAUUCUUUCUCAAGCAUUUGACCUUACAACACAGAGAACUCAGGGUCAGUGGGAAACACAGCAGAAGAGACAGACAGUGCAGCAGAGCUGUCCUUGGAAUGGAAGAAUGUUUUUUAAGGUAGGAUUGGAAUGGGGGUGAGGGGAAUGUGAGUUUUAAAUUUUAAAAUUUAAAUGCAAAUUUUAAGGACCAAACCUAACAACUUAAAAAUCCAAGUGUUUUAUCUAGAGAAAGAUAAUUUUCAUUCUAAAAACUGUGAAUUCAACACUUAAGCCCUUUCAAUGGGAAAGAAAAGAUCAGAAAGAAUCAAACAUGAUCUGGUAUUUAGUUCUUCUCGAGGUAUACCCCACAUCCGGAACCAUUCAAUUUCAAAAAUGAAAAGCACUUUGUCGACUUUGUGCUUGGUGAACAGCGUCCUCAGAACACUUCCUGUUCCUCAGUACAAAGAGUGCGUGAGUGUGUGCGCACCUGUGUGCGUGUGGAGAAAGAAAGAGAAGCCAAGGACCGUAUACUGGGCUCUCCUGAUGUCUCACGUCCCUCCACCGGAGAGAGACCAGCAUGUGUGUGUGCAGGGCUGGGGCUGGAGGUGGGGGUGGGAAGAGGGCAAGUUGGGGGCAGGACUAAGGGAAGGCAGAGUAGAAACCACAAAGACGAAAAUUUAGUUUCUGUCUCAAGCUUGAAGUAAAGCUUAAGAUAAAGCCAGCUUACGAUCAGGCCCCAGCACAUGCAGAGCAGCAAACGGGCCAGCUCUGACUUCACAAAGGGAAACUUCAGUCUAAAAAAGCUAAUCAAACGCGUCCUUUGUAGAAUCCAGGGAAAAAGUUACCUCCCUUGUACCUUGGGCGUGGACUUGUCUGUGAAGUCAUCUCCCAAGGGUCAGGGCCCUCUCCCUGAGGCUUUAUGAUCUAGGUUAUCAGAUAGCUGGUGAUCACUUUGAAUUACCAGGUCCCAGGCUUGACUGGCACCAAAUGACCCAGAGAGACGUCUAAGAAAUAGAAAUGGGAUCUAAAUCAGUGACUCCAAUCUGGGAUCUUCAAAUACUCAAGGUCUUUGAAAGUAAUAAUAAGUCUGGGAAGAUUCUUUGAGUGUAUUCCAAAAAAAACCCUGCAUCUUCAUUUGCCUACUCUAAUGCUACAAACACAGACUCUGAAGGAUUUUUUGCUUUUAGCUAAAAUUGUCAAUUCAUUUUAGGAACACGGGUUGUUUAUGACUCAACAGAUAAUCCAAUAUUUUAAAAAUCCAAAUGUAACAGUGGUUCCUUACAUGAUGGAAGUAUUUCUCCCUUCACCAAAAUAUUCGGUGUUUAAAAAUUAGCAUUUCCAGGGAGUUCCUAUUGUGGUUCAGUGAUAACGAACUCUACCAGUAUCCGUGAGGACUCAGGUUCGAUACCUGGCCCCAUUCAGUGGGUUUAGGAUCUGACAUUGCCAUGAACCAUGGCAUGGGCCGCAGACACAGUUCUGAUCUGGCAUUGCUGUGGCUGUGGUGUAGGCCAGCAGCUAUAGCUCUGAUUCAACCCCUAGCCUUGGAACCUCCAUACGCCACGGGUGCAGCCCUAAAGAGCAAAAAAUAAAAAUUAAAAAUUAGCAUUUGCAUAUGCAUUUCACUUUAACCUUUUAAUACACAUUGAGUCAUGUUAAAUUUAUAAUUAUAGUUCUACCAAGUCCCUUGGGAAUUGUAUUUUCAGUUUAUUUCUGACACAAAUGUUUUAAUCAACAGCUGUUCUAGGAGGCUGGCUAUGCAUUCUUUUCGAAUGUUGAGAAUUUUAAUGAGGAUAAAAUCUAAAUUUGAAACUAUCCUGUCUCUAUAUGAGUAAAUAGACAUCCUCCUCCAUUUUAUAGUAGUUUUUUAAUUUUUCUGCAUAUAAAAUCUGUGUAUAGUUAAGGUGUACAAUUUGAGUUUAGAGAUAAGCAUAGUGAUUUUAAACAGUGAUAACAUGUUGAUAUACUCAGAAGUUUUUCAUAUAAAUUUCUAUGACAUAAAGUAUCACCAUAAUUUGUAAAAAUAUGUACAAAGAUGAUGAAGGGCAUUGAUAGAACAGAUGCUUUCUAUUUGCCCAGGAUAAUUUAGAUUUGUUAUAAGUUAUAUGUUUCAAAAUAUCAAGGGUUUUUCACCCAAGAAAAAGAAAUAGUCACUUAGAUCCAUCAUGUAACUUAGAAAAACUCCUCUCUGGGAAGCAGUGUUUUUCUACUGGCACCUAUUAUGCCGCUUGUUGUACUGUGUUUAUUAGUAAAGGAAAUAAGGAAAUGAUGGUUGUUAAUCCAAAAGCGUAAGACACAGAAUGGAUACAAUGUCCCACAUAUUUCAUAGAAUAGCAAAGAACCCCUGGUCUUCUCUGGGACUUCAGUUAAUUCAAUGCGAUGAUUGCUAUGUAGUUAUAAAAGCCUGCUAAUUUGAUUUAGUAUUCUCUUGAAACCUAGACCUUGAGUUAAGCACUUGGUGCAAGGAGCUUAUCUGAGGUUAUACCAGAAAGCAGGAGCGUGUGAUCUCAGAGAGUGAAGCAGGGAAGAAGGGAGAGGUCACAUCCGGGAACAUUACCAAGUUCCCUGCCAUAGGCAAUGGAGGCCCAGCUCAGCUGGGGCUUCUGAGUGUGCAAAAUUUUCCCAUAAAGCUUCACCUGAAGGAUGGAAGGUGGAAUGAAUUCUCUGAUGCCUUCUCCCAAGCGCUGCCCCAUGGGCUUUAACUCUUAACACCUCUCAGCUGCACUUGCAGAAAAGCCAAAGCAGAACGUGGAAAAGGACAAAGCAAGAACAAAAGUCAAUAAGACCUGCCCGUCACAGCCACAGCUCAAACCAGAGGUGGGCUGAGAGGACACGAUGGUGGCCCCAGAGGCACUGCCAGAGAGUGAACCUUUCAUACACCUUCGCAUUAUUCACGGCUCACUCACUCUGUAGGAAGCCAGGGGGUGCAAUGGCCUUGUGGAGAGGCCCAUAUGGUGAGACACUGCAGCCUCCAGCCAAUAGCCUUGUGAAUGAGCCUGGAAGAGGAUCCCCCAGCCACAGUCAAGUCUUCAAGGCUGUGCCCACGACACAAAGGCUCCCAGCCCAAGAGUGGAAUCAGAGCUGUAGCCGCUGGCCUACGCCACAACCACAGCCACACCAGAUCCAAGCUGCGUCUGCAACCUACACCACAGCUCACGGCACCACCAAAUCCUUAACCCACUGAGCAAGGCAGGGAUAGAACCUGCAUCCUCAUGGAUACUAGUCAGAUUCGUUUCUGCUGAGCCACGACGGGAACUCUCAUAAAUCUUCUUUUUGACUGAUUA